rnacentral:rRNA from 1 species
UUGACCUCAAAUCAGGUAGGACUACCUGCUGAACUUAAGCAU